CAGGGCUGGCGAUUGGACAGCCGGAAGGGGGGCCGUUACACUGUAAGAGAGUGAGUACCAGGUCUCACAGUGAACCGGUCUCUUUCCCGACUGGAUCUGGCUCCCAGACGG